GUUCACUGCUCUCUUGAAGUAGAAAAACCCUCUAAAGUCAUAAAAGUGUGCAAAUGAAGAGGUUCAGAUCUUCACAUUUCUUUUAUUUUAAGGAUGCCUGUGAAACUGCCUAGGCUAUCAAGAGUAUGCACAUCUGAAAAGCCACCAAGUACCUGAAUGAUGUCACCUUAAAAAUUCACAUUGAGCUGCUCCUGAGGCAUAAUGGUGGAGUUAGUAGGAAUGCCAGGGCCCAACAGUGGGGCUGGACACAGGGUUGGUGGCCCCCAAGGAGUGCUGAAUUUUUGCUUUAAAGCACAGAGGGCGAUGCUGACUCUUGGGUCACUGAACACCUCCGGGUGAGGUUCAAAAAAAAAGUUCAA
rnacentral:lncRNA from 1 species